UCUACAUUGCUGAUUUGUUCUUCUGCAUCUUCCAAUCUGCUAUUGAUUCCCUCUAUAGUAUUUUUUAUUUUAGUUAUUGAAUGCCUCAUCUCUGAUUGGUUCUUUUUUAUAUUUUAUAUCUUUGUGAAAGCUUUUACUGUGUUCGUCCACUAUUCUCAAGUCCAGCAAUAAGGAGGUCAGCUGCAUCUCCUGGUCUUCAAUAUAGUGGCCUUGUGUAGAAGAGGUCCUGUGUUGCCCUGUAGUGCAGUGCCCCCCUGGUGACCAGAACCAGAUGAUCCAGAGUUGUCUUCUGUGUGGCUGCAUGUGCCCUACUGUUGUCACUAGGUUGCUCUUGUCUUCUGCCCAUCCAGCUGCAAUGCAUUGGGUGCAGACAUACCUAGUGUCAGGGCUUGCUCCCUGUGCAGCCCCCUACGAAGCUUGGAUGCAGGAAUUACGAGUGUGCUGGUGUAUGCGGUUCUCUUCCCUUCUCCCUAAAACAGGAAUCAUUUUAGAAUGGCA